AUGUACAUUCCUACAACAUAAAUCUUAUGCACUAGAUCCCAUUAGAACUCUACAAUUAAGCAUGCUUGGGCUAGAGUAGUACUAGGAUGGGUGACCACCCAAGAAGUCCUAGUGUCUUACAUG
rfam:Picea glauca, whole genome shotgun sequence.